CCUACGGGAGGCAGCAGUGGGGAAUAUUGCACAAUGGGCGCAAGCCUGAUGCAGCGACGCCGCGUGAGGGACGACGGCCUUCGGGUUGUAAACCUCUUUCAGCACAGACGAAGCGCGAGUGACGGUAUGUGCAGAAGAAGGACCGGCCAAUUACGUGCCAGCAGCCGCGGUAAU
rnacentral:rRNA from 1 species